CCUACGGGAUGCAGCAGUGGGGAAUAUUGCACAAUGGGCGCAAGCCUGAUGCAGCCAUGCCGCGUGUGUGAAGAAGGCCUUCGGGUUGUAAAGCACUUUCAGCGGGGAGGAAGGCGUUAAGGUUAAUAACCUUAGCAAUUGACGUUACCCGCAGAAGAAGCACCGGCUAACUCCGUGCCAGCAGCCGCGGUAAUACGGAGGGUGCAAGCGUUAAUCGGAAUUACUGGGCGUAAAGCGCACGCAGGCGGUCUGUCAAGUCGGAUGUGAAAUCCCCGGGCUCAACCUGGGAACUGCAUUCGAAACUGGCAGGCUAGAGUCUUGUAGAGGGGGGUAGAAUUCCAGGUGUAGCGGUGAAAUGCGUAGAGAUCUGGAGGAAUACCGGUGGCGAAGGCGGCCCCCUGGACAAAGACUGACGCUCAGGUGCGAAAGCGUGGGGAGCAAACAGGAUUAGAUACCCUAGUAGUC
rnacentral:rRNA from 1 species